rnacentral:tRNA from 2 species
GCCCGCGUAACUUAGUGGUAGAGUGUUGUACUUAUGUGGAUACCUGAUGCAAAAGUCGGCGGUUCGACCCCGCCCGUGGGCA